CAUAUUUAUAUGAAGAAAUGUAUGGUUUUGAAGGUGUGUGUGGGUUAUUGGUUGAAGCUUCAAGGCAUAGCCACACCUUUGUGGUUUGUGCUCUAUAUGAUCCAACGUAGAGAGAGACUAAUCCUAUGUAGAGAAGGGAUCACAAAAUCCAAAUGGAAAAGGCAAUAGAGCUAAAUAACGGGUAAUUUUACACAUUACACUUUAUAAUGUCCUUUUUUUUAAUAUAAGCAUUGUAAUUGGAUACUAGUUACAAAAUAUUUUUUAUAGGUAGUAUUUUAUAAUUGGUUAACAAUAUUUUUUUAAUGUUAUUUUAGACUUGAUACUUAAUUACACUAAUAUCAGUAUAACACUGAGAAGUGUGCUAGGUACCAAUGAUGUUUUUCAACAAUUCUCUUUAUAUAUAUAUUUAUACAUUUUUUUUAAUUUACAUUUUACAGGUUUUUACUUGUUUUUUCAAUGAAAAAUAUUACUUCUACGUUAUUUUUAUCGUUUUGAAACAAUAGAAAAACAAUACUCUGUAUAGUUGUAAAAAAAAUGACCAUUUCCAUAGCAACAAUGCCAAAAUUAAUAUUUUUUUCGAAAACAACAGAAAAACAAUGCUCUAUAAUUCUAUAAAAAGAUAAAAUAAAAUCCAUAAAAAUAUAUAAAAAAAAAUAGCAAAUUCGUAAAAAUAUAAGAAUUUUGUCAAGUUUUGUAUAUUUAUAAAAUAAUCCCCUAAAUAAAUGGCACUAAUAUGAUAAAUGAUAAUCAAAAUAAAAUGUUAGAAAUUUAUGUAGUCGAACCCCUUAAAAGAUCGUUUUGGUAGAUCUUUUAUCUGUUUCGGCAUUUAGGAGAAUUUUUUAGUCUAUUUUUUUCAUGAUUGCAUAGGCUAUAGUUAUUUAAGGCCACUUAUAAAUUUGAAUAGUUUACAGUAUCGAAAAUAAGGUGUAAAAAGUUACUUACCACGCAUAUAAGAAAAAUAGUCGCGUGUGCAACAAAAUAUGUAAAUUUUAUUUUUGUCAUUUUAAAUUAUUCAAAAAUUUUAAAAAAUUUACAAGUAGUCCUACAUAACUAUAACAUACACGAUUUAGUAUACCGAAAUAUCCUUUUAGAGUGGUGCACAAUAGACUUAUCCUAAAAUGUUUUUCCUUAAAGUUGAUAUACUAGCCAUUAUGCAGUCAUAUCAACAUUGCUUUUAGGCACUUGUGGCUCAUUGUGUGUGGUUAGAUGUUUUCUAUAUUAUUUAUUAAAUUAAAAUAUGUGAAACUUAAUAUGAAAUUACACUAAUAAUAGUAUGUAACUUCUUGUGAUGCUUGACACCUUAAAUUAUAUAAUGAAAAUACAAAUAAAAAAAUUACUGAAAAUAUAUGAUCCUUAUUUAAAUGGAGCCUAUCGUGGACAAAUUAAAAAAAAAAAAUUGUCUUUACUUUCAAUCCAAAAUAAAAUUUUCAAAAAAAAUGACAUAAAAAUAAGUUGGAUAAAUAAAAUUCAUAUAAGAAUCAAAUGCCUUGAAAACCUAAGAGUUCCUCUGCAUGUCCACAGAGGGUGAGUCAAGGCCAAAGGCGUAGCCGAUGGAAAAUAGAUGAAUAUUCCUACACUACCCCUUGUUGGUCCUAAGGGUCAAAGGAGGCUAGAUUAGCGGAAAAAUGGUUACCAAUUCAAGUACGCAAGGUGCUCCUGUAUGUCUCAAGCUAAUGUUUGAAAUACCAAGACGCUACGACGUUGAAGUAACCCAUGUCAUACUCCCAGGAAAAAUGCCCCUUAACAUUUCUCUAGUUCAAGGACGGAAGGUGUUUCUAUUUUUUCAGGGUAAGAAUGGGAAGAGAAAAUAUCUCGAGCCAAUGUUUGAGUACCAAGGCGCUACGACACUGAAGUAAGUCAUACCAUACUCAUUGACAGAGGGAUAAAAUGAAGUUUGGGGGGAGGGGGGAUGUAAAGGAAAUAAUUUAGGGGGACAAAUUAAAAUAUCUAUAUAAUUUUAUUUUAUUUUUACAUAAUUAAUGUAUAUAAAAUACAUGCAAUAAAAAGGUUUUGGGAGGGCUACAGAUAAUGUGGCUCCGUGAGUGGCCAUACUCCCAGGAAAAGUGCCCUUAGUAUUUCUCUCUAAUCAUAUUCAUAUACACCAAUAUAAGAGCUGAAAGGAAGCUAAAUUCUCUUUGUAGAACGUCAUAAACAUUUUUAACACUUCUUGAAGAAGAGACAAAAAAGAGUUAGGUAAACUAAGUAAUAAUACAAAAGAUUAGGUUUUAAAUUCAAGUAUUAGAGGUGAUGAGCCAACCACAAUAAGAGUUGUAAGUACUAGUGUUUGCCCACCGACCUUUUGCAUAUACAUCUUUCGAUAAGGAAACAUUAUAAUUUUAAGAAAAUAUUGACUUUCAAUAAGAAAGUAUUGUCUAUUAAAAAUGAGAAGAGUUAGAUACGCAAGCAAUUUUAUAGGUACAGAUUAUUAUUAUUAGUAUUACACCAUCUCCAAUGGGCACAUCUAUAGUUACCAAAAAAGUAUAUACAUAUAUAUAUAUAAACAUUAAAUUAAUCAUUUUUUUUCAAAUGGUAAUUUCUUUUUAAAGAAAAUAAAAAAGAGAGAAAUGCCACAUGGACGUGAUCUUAUUUGAGCAACACUACGAUGAAAUUGGUGUAGGAACUUGACCACAUUAGACCACUCUAGUGGGCUGCCCAUGGAGAUGCUCAUAUAGUCAUACGCACCCAAAAGAAAGAAAGUGAUGUCCUGAAAAAGAAAAGUAGCAAGAGCAUCUCCUAAUUUUAAGUGCAUGAACUAAUUACAAAUAUUCCAACAAGCAUAAUUCUUUUCUUUUCUUUUUUAAAUGAACAAGCCUUAAUAAUUAAUGGUAAAAGGGUUCCACAUAUAAUAUAUAACACAGUACAGAAAAAAAAAAAAUUACACUAUUUUCUUUGAGGUUGGAGACAGAUGAAACAAGCAACCAAAAAUU